ACGCACGCUGGCGGCGUGCUUCACCCAUGCAAGUCGAACGGAAAGGCCCUGCUUUUGUGGGGUGCUCGAGUGGCGAACGGGUGAGUAACACGUGAGUAACCUGCCCUUGACUUUGGGAUAACUUCAGGAAACUGGGGCUAAUACCGGAUAGGAGCUCCUGCUGCAUGGUGGGGGUUGGAAAGUUUCGGCGGUUGGGGAUGGACUCGCGGCUUAUCAGCUUGUUGGUGGGGUAGUGGCUUACCAAGGCUUUGACGGGUAGCCGGCCUGAGAGGGUGACCGGCCACAUUGGGACUGGGAUACGGCCCAGACUCCUACGGGAGGCAGCAGUGGGGAAUAUUGCACAAUGGGCGGAAGCCUGAUGCAGCAACGCCGCGUGCGGGAUGACGGCCUUCGGGUUGUAAACCGCUUUCGCCUGUGACGAAGCGUGAGUGACGGUAAUGGGUAAAGAAGCACCGGCUAACUACGUG
rnacentral:rRNA from 1 species